rnacentral:rRNA from 1 species
UACGAAUGGGGCUAGCGUUGCUCGGAAUCGCUGGGCGUAAAGGGUGCGUAGGCGGGUCUUUAAGUCAGGGGUGAAAUCCUGGAGCUCAACUCCAGAACUGCCUUUGAUACUGAAGAUCUUGAGUUCGGGAGAGGUGAGUGGAACUGCGAGUGUAGAGGUGAAAUUCGUAGAUAUUCGCAAGAACACCAGUGGCGAAGGCGGCUCACUGGCCCGAUACUGACGCUGAGGCACGAAAGCGUGGGGAGCAAACAGG